AAACAUCAAAAGAAAUUUGUUUCUUUUGGAACUGGAGUUGUGCUGGUCUUGCCUCCCUUUUCUUGGGAUUGCCCAGCUCCUCUAAAAUUCAUUUAGCAGAGUGCACCCAAACUUGCACAGCACUCUUCUUGGCCAUUGAUAGAUGUCUAUGUCCAAGUGGCUGGGCAGGUUUUGGGAAGGUCUCUGCUUAUAAUGGUCCACCAUGGACAACAUCCUUUGCUUGACA
rnacentral:misc_RNA from 1 species